UACGUAGGUGGCGAGCGUUGUCCGGAUUUACUGGGCGUAAAGGGAGCGUAGGCGGACUUUUAAGUGAGAUGUGAAAUACCCGGGCUCAACUUGGGUGCUGCAUUUCAAACUGGAAGUCUAGAGUGCAGGAGAGGAGAAUGGAAUUCCUAGUGUAGCGGUGAAAUGCGUAGAGAUUAGGAAGAGCACCAGUGGCGAAGGCGAUUCUCUGGACUGUAACUGACGCUGAGGCUCGAAAGCGUGGGGAGCAAACAGG
rnacentral:rRNA from 1 species